AGAUUGAAGAAGCUUGCUUCUGAUUGAUAACAUUUGAGUGAGUGGCGGACGGGUGAGUAACACGUGGGUAACCUGCCCUAAAGUGGGGGAUAACAUUUGGAAACAGAUGCUAAUACCGCAUAAAACCUAGCACCGCAUGGUGCAAGGUUGAAAGAUGGUUUCGGCUAUCACUUUAGGAUGGACCCGCGGUGCAUUAGUUAGUUGGUGAGGUAAAGGCUCACCAAGACCGUGAUGCAUAGCCGACCUGAGAGGGUAAUCGGCCACACUGGGACUGAGACACGGCCCAGACUCCUACGGGAGGCAGCAGUAGGGAAUCUUCCACAAUGGACGAAAGUCUGAUGGAGCAACGCCGCGUGAGUGAAGAAGGUUUUCGGAUCGUAAAACUCUGUUGUUGGAGAAGAACGUAUUUGAUAGUAACUGAUCAGGUAGUGACGGUAUCCAACCAGAAAGCCACGGCUAACUACGUGCCAGCAGCCGCGGUAAUACGUAGGUGGCAAGCGUUGUCCGGAUUUAUUGGGCGUAAAGCGAGCGCAGGCGGUUUCUUAAGUCUGAUGUGAAAGCCUUCGGCUCAACCGAAGAAGUGCAUCGGAAACUGGGAAACUUGAGUGCAGAAGAGGACAGUGGAACUCCAUGU
rnacentral:rRNA from 1 species